rnacentral:rRNA from 1 species
UACAGUGGUCUCAAGCGUUGUUCGGAUUCAUUGGGCGUAAAGGGUGUGUAGGUGGCGCGCUAAGUCGGGUGUGAAAUUUCGGAGCUUAACUCCGAAACUGCAUUCGAUACUGGCGUGCUUGAGGACUGGAGAGGAGACUGGAAUUCAUGGUGUAGCAGUGAAAUGCGUAGAGAUCAUGAGGAAGACCAGUGGCGAAGGCGGGUCUCUGGACAGUUCCUGACACUGAGACACGAAGGCCAGGGGAGCAAACGGG